UGAAAAGCUGCUCCGUGCUGGAGAGUCAUGAAAACCAGAUAAGAAAAACAGAUGAUGGAAAUUUUCAAAAUUUGAAAGCUCUAAAUAAAUGUCACAUAUUAUUCUCAUUUUGAACACUGUUUGGCAACAUCCAAACCUAUAUCCAGAGUCCAAACUUACCAUCAACGAUGUUACCUACACUAGAAAAUUCAAAAUUAUAAGAAUUAUAAAAGUUUCAUAUCAGAACUUCCUUCAUCUGGACCAAUCUUUAACAGAAUUGGCCUCAUAUAUGGGAAAGAAAAACAAACCUGGUACAGCUGAUGUCAACAUUGUACCAUGAUGGAAAUAUUGAUAGGGUAAGUUUGACAAAACAGAAGCCUGAGAUAAAAACUUC
rnacentral:lncRNA from 1 species